ACAUGAAGCCUGUAUUGUAGUGGACUGGGAAAUAUUAUGGUUUGUCAUUGGCAGUCUCUCCUGAAAAAAGAUCUGCAGAGGAAAAAAUAAACUCAAGGUAACAGUAAGUCAAGGAUGCAACUGUUAAGAUGCAUUGUUAAGAACUCAGAAAGAUUUAAGAUAGUGCCUCAUUGACCCUCUCAACUAGACAAACCGGUAUCUGACAAUCUUGAGAGCAUUGACCACAGCAGCUUCACAUGUGGUCCAAAGUUUGUUUGAAACUUUGGGUUUGGGAGACACAGAAUGCACUCCAAGCAGGUUUUUACGAAGCCAAUGAAUUUGUUAAGCAAAAACACCACCGGCUUGCGCUAAGGGACUGGUCAUUUCAAAGUCAGAAGAGGACUUGGGAACCAGACAUUUUUGUGGCUAGAGAGAAGGCUAAGAAAACUAUUAGCCAUAAACAUGAGCCACUUCUUAUCAGAAAGACAGGGACUGUCCCUGGUCCUUAAAUUAAAAGAACUAGUUGCAUGUGCCAGGCUGGAUUUCAGAAUGACUUUGGACUAUGAUGACUAGCUCCUUUCCAUUCUUUCUGUUUUUGGACGGAAGCAUCUACUGACAUGGCUAUUCAUUGCCUGUCUCCUCAUUGCAUGUUGGAUAAAUAGAGAGAAGUAACCUCUCUUUUAAGUUUACAAGUCUGGAGAUUGAGAGAAAUUACACCUGAGAAGCCUUAUUUGUACCUGAGCCAGAUGCAGACCACAUGAUACUAAACUUGGAGCUUGAUGUCAUAAUUGGAUGAGACAUUCGAUGUCUUGAGAGAGGAUGCAUGUGUUUUGAUGUAGAAAAAAUAUAAAUAAUGGUGACCAAAAGACAAAUUUCAAAUUAUGACCACAAAAUUAUCUAGUUCCCAUAAGCAUCUUCCUUCACAAUGUGGCUUUGCCCUUCCUUCCAUCAAAGAAUAGAGCUGAUUUUCCUCUCCCCUUGAAUCUGAUCUUAUAUUGCACUUGCUUUGAUCAAUAAUGUAACAAAAACAACUUUCUGUCAUCUGAUUCUAGGCCUUUAGAAACCUUGCAGCUUCUUUUUUUAGAUGUCCUAAAUCACUGUCCUAAAACCACCAGCCUGGAAUCUGAUCU